GGCAAGGCGAGGAACAGGCUGUAAACACAGAUCCUGACACGCAGGGAUGUUACUCUUGGAGUAUGUGAAGACAGUUUGCUUUUUGACAAGCGAGCUAGCGGGCGCCCAGAUUUCUACAGCCUUUGGAGUCUCCCCGGAGGGAAAGAACAAACCUCGGACUGGGGAGCCACCCUGGAAGGGCUCUGCGUAGGGGAACCGCCCCACCCUUUGGCCCCAGACUCUCCUGCCUGGGGCUCCCCGCUUGGUGCUACUGAAGGAUUGCCUCAAGCUCUGAGGAUGAAGCUGGGGUUUAGGGUUCCGGAAACCUCUCUGAAUAACAACUGUGGGGGAGAAACAGACUCUGCCAACAUUUCUUCCCGGCCUCACAACGGAAAGGACUGUUUUCCUAAAGCUGUUGGC
rnacentral:lncRNA from 1 species